GUUUGAGGACCCCUGGUUUAGCCUGUUUACAAGUCUUUGCUGCUUGCAGCCUGCAAAUGUAUCAUUUUGUUCUGGAGACUGCCCCUUUUCCUGGGGAUAGAAGGCUCCAUUUUGAGAAGCCUAUUCUGCCUUCUAGACUGAAGGAGAAACAACAUAGAUGUGCUUGUGUGGCCAAGCCAGGCCAACUCUGAAAAGGCCAUCUGCUCCAACAACUGAAAAAAUUUAACUGCCAUUUCCAGGCUAGAAUCUUAAAAGGACAGGACAGCAGGUGAUGUUUGCCUCCUCGUGGCAUGACAACAUGCAAAGCACCACUGAUAGAUGGCCAUCCAGCCUCUGCUUAAAAGCCUCUAAAGGAGGAGCCUCAACCACACUCCAGGGCAGAGAGUUCCACUGCCUUCCUCAUGUUCAGCCAUCAUGCCCAGGUGGCUGGAUCUCAUGCAGAGGUCAAACCGCAUCUCUCCUGCGGAGACUGUGAAGGUAGUGGUCAGCUUACCCUCAAAGUUGAGGAAGAUAUGGAGGAGGCUCAAGAACAACAUGCUCUUGUGCAUUAGCUACAGGUCUGCCGAGGCUGCCAGCAAGAGGAGGAAGGAGGCCUCCACCAGGCUGGGGAAGAGGCGAUGGAGCCACCUGGCCAGAAAGCCUCCUUCCCUUGUCACCAUCGUAGAGGAGGCGGAGGAGGUUGAAGGCCAGGAAGAGCCAGUGGAGCCAGGGCAAAAGGAGAAGCGGGGGAGCGGCCUGGCCAGUUUACUUCCUUCCCCCGAUACCAUCUUGGAGGAGGCAGAGGAGGCUGAAGCCCAGGAACAGCCAGUGGAGCCCGGGCAGAAGGAGAAGCGAUGGAGCGGCCUGGCCAGCCUGCCUGCUUCCCUUCUACAAGAUGCUAGAUAUUAUGUGUAUUUGGAUGGAUGAGAUAUUGAAAACUGCCUGUUUCUUUGUUUUACUUCGUAGAAUGUAAUAAAAGUUUUAUAGCAAAAAGGGAAACUUUGUUGGCACCUUUGCUAACCCUGCUCUUGUCCUUCUUUACAGCCACCAUGCCCAGCUGGCUGAAUCUCUUCCGGAGAUCAAACCACAUCUUUCCUUCAGUGGAGGAGACUGAGAAGGUGGUGGCGAGCCCAACCUCAAAGCUGAGGAAGACCCAUGCGGCUUCAUCAUCCGGAAGGAAGGAAGGAAGGGGAUGACAUGUAGCAACCUCCUCCAUCUCAGAGCUUUCUCCAUCACUCAGCUGAUAACUUCUAGCAGCCUCCUCCAUAUCAGAGCCUUUUCCAUCACUCAGCUGAUAACAUCUAGCAACCUCUUCCAACGCAGAGGCUUCUCCAUCAUUCAGCUGCCACCAUGUCUGAGCCUCCUCCAACUCAGAGACUCCACUAUCCCGGACUUCCAGCAUUUCUGGGCCUCCACCAACUCAGAGGCUCUACCAUCCAUGAAGAGUUGGAAGCAACUAAACGAAUAAACAACAACAAAGGUCCCAUAGGUUGUGGUAUCGGAAGUCAUGAGUGGGAAGAGCAAGGUGGUGGGAUUGGGGAUUGGAUGGAUGAGUUUUUGAAAACUGCCUGUUUCUUUGUUUUACUUCAAAGAACGUAAUAAAGGUUUUAUAGCAGAAAGGGAAGCUUCAUUGGCACCUUUGCUAACCCUGCUCUUGUCCUUCUUUAUAGCCAUCAUGCCCAGGUGGCUGGAUCUCGUGCAGAGGUCAAACCGCAUCUCUCCUGCGGAGACUGUGAAGGUAGUGGUCAGCUUACCCUCAAAGUUGAGGAAGAUAUGGAGGAGGCUCAAGAACAACAUGCUCUUGUGCAUUAGCUACAGGUCUGCCGAGGCUGCCAGCAAGAGGAGGAAGGAGGCCUCCACCAGGCUGGGGAAGAGGCGAUGGAGCCACCUGGCCAGAAUGCCUCCUUCCCUUGUCACCAUCGUAGAGGAGGCGGAGGAGGUUGAAGGCCAGGAAGAGCCAGUGGAGCCAGGGCAAAAGGAGAAGCGGGGGAGCGGCCUGGCCAGCUUACUUCCUUCCCCCGAUACCAUCUUGGAGGAGGCAGAGGAGGCUGAAGCCCAGGAACAGCCAGUGGAGCCUGGGCAGGAGAAGCGAUGGAGCGGCCUGGCCAGCCUGCCUGCUUCCCUUCUACAAGAUGCUAGAUAUUAUGUGUAUUUGGAUGGAUGAGAUAUUGAAAACUGCCUGUUUCUUUGUUUUACUUCGUAGAAUGUAAUAAAAGUUUUAUAGCAAAAAGGGAAGCUUUGUUGGCACCUUUGCUAACCCUGCUCUUGUCCUUCUUUACAGCCACCAUGCCCAGCUGGCUGAAUCUCUUCCGGAGAUCAAACCACAUCUUUCCUUCAGUGGAGGAGACUGAGAAGGUGGUGGCGAGCCCAACCUCAAAGCUGAGGAAGACCCAUGCGGCUUCAUCAUCCGGAAGGAAGGAAGGAAGGGGAUGACAUGUAGCAACCUCCUCCAUCUCAGAGCUUUCUCCAUCACUCAGCUGAUAACUUCUAGCAGCCUCCUCCAUAUCAGAGCCUUUUCCAUCACUCAGCUGAUAACAUCUAGCAACCUCUUCCAACGCAGAGGCUUCUCCAUCAUUCAGCUGCCACCAUGUCUGAGCCUCCUCCAACUCAGAGACUCCACUAUCCCGGACUUCCAGCAUUUCUGGGCCUCCACCAACUCAGAGGCUCUACCAUCCAUGAAGAGUUGGAAGCAACUAAACGAAUAAACAACAACAAAGGUCCCAUAGGUUGUGGUAUCGGAAGUCAUGAGUGGGAAGAGCAAGGUGGUGGGAUUGGGGAUUGGAUGGAUGAGUUUUUGAAAACUGCCUGUUUCUUUGUUUUACUUCAAAGAACGUAAUAAAGGUUUUAUAGCAGAAAGGGAAGCUUCAUUGGCACCUUUGCUAACCCUGCUCUUGUCCUUCUUUACAGCCAUCAUGCCCAGGUGGCUGGAUCUCGUGUGGAGGUCAAACUGCAUCUCUCCUGCAGAGACUGAAGCCAUCAUGCCCAGCUGGCCAAAUCUCUUCCGGAGAUCAAACCGCAUUUUUCCUGUGGUGGAGGAGACUGAGAAGGUGGUGGCCAGCCCAACCUCAGAGCUGAGGAAGAUGAUGUGGAGGAGCCUCAGGAAGAGCAUGCUAUCAUGUGUUAGCUGCAGGAUGUCGAGGCUGUCAGCCGGAGGAAGAAGGAGGCCUCCACCAAAGAGCCCUGGCUGAAGGAGAGGCAAGGGAGCAGCCUGGCCAGCCUGCCUCCUUCCCUCCACACCAUCUUGGAGGAGGCAGACGAGGACGUGUAGGCAUCAGGGCCACGACGGACCUUUGGUCUUCUUCGUGGCCCUUGUGGAUCACUCCAAUGGGAGUCUGCUGCGCCUGGAUAAGCCCUUCCAGGAACAUCUGAGCCCUCUUUGGCGGGGAGUGGCCCCGCCCGCUCUUCCCACCGGGCGGCCCCGUGGCCUCCGUCCCUUUUCCUCAGCCUUGACAUCAGCAGUGGGACCUCUGGCCCUGUCUCUUUUUGGCCCCAGGAUUGCUCCGUGUCUCCCCAGCUCCUCCUCCAUCAGCCCUCCAGCUCCGGCCUCCUCCUGCCUGCUUUGCCCUGGGGAGACCCAUGCGGCUCCAUCAUCCAGACACUGCCAGGAAGGAAGGAAGGAAGGAAGGAAGGAAGGGGAUAACAUGUAGCGACCUCCAUCUCAGAGCUUUCUCCAUCACUCAGCUGAUAACAUCUAGCAACCUCUUCCAUCGCAGAGGCAUCUCCAGCACUCAGCUGCCACCAUGUCUGAGCCUCCUCCAACUCAGAGACUCCACUAUCCUGGACUUCCAGCAUUUCUGGGCCUCCACCAACUCAGACGCUCUACCAUCCAUGAAGAGUCGGAAGCAAUUGAACGAAUAAACAAAGGUCCCAUAGGUUGUGGUGUCGGAAGUCAUGAGUGGGAAGAGUGAGGUGGUGGUAUUGCGGAAAUAAGGUGUGUAUUUGGAUGGAUUUGAUUUUGAAAACUGCCUGUUUCUUUGUUUUACUUCGUAGAAUGUAAUAAAAGUUUUAUAGGAGAAAGGGAAGCUUUGUUGGCACCUUUGCUAACCCUACUCUUGUCCUUCUUUACAGCCAUCAUAUCCAGCUGGCUGAAUCUCUUCCGGAGAUCAAACCGUAUUUUUCCUGCGGUGGAGGAGACUGAGAAGGUGAUGGCCAGCCCAACCUCAAAGCUGAGGAAGACCCAUGUGGCUCCAUCAUCCAGACACUGCCAGGAAGGAAGGAAGGGGAUGACAUGUUGCGACCUCCUCCAUAUCAGAGCCUUCUCCAUCACUCAGCUGAUAACAACUAGCAACCUCUUCCGUCGCAGAAGCUUCUCCAUCACUCAGCUGCCACCAUGUCUGAACCUUCUCCAACUCAGAGACUCCACUAUCCUGGACGUCCAGCAUUUCUGGGCCUCCACCAACUCAGAGGUACUACCAUCCAUGAAGAGUCGGAAGCAACUGAACGAAUAAACAACAACAAAGGUCCCAUAGGUUGUGGUGUCGGAAGUCAUGAGUGGGAAGAGCAAGGUGGUGGGAUUGGGGAAAUAAGCCAUCAUGCCCAGCUGGCCGAAUCUCUUCCGGAGAUCAAACCGCAUUUUUCCUGCGGUGGAGGAGACUGAGAAGGUGGUGGCCAGCCCAAACUCAAAGCUGAGGAAGAUGAUGUGGAGGAGCUUCAGGAAAAGCAUGCUAUCAUGUGUUAGCUGCAGGGUGUCGAGGCUGCCAGCCAGAGGAAGAAGGAGGCCUCCACCAAAGAGCUCAGACUGAAGAAGAGGCGAUGGAGCCACCUGGCCAGCCUGACUGAUAACAGCCUGACUGAUAAUUUCUAGCAGCCUCUUCAUCUCAGAGGCUUCUCCAUCACUCAGCUAACAUUAGCAGCCUCCACCAUCUCAGAGCCUUCUCCAUCGCUCAGCUGAUAACAGCUAGCAGCCUCCUCCAUCUCAGUGCCUUUAACAUCUCUCAGUUUAUAACAUCUAGAGACCUUCUCCAUCUCAGAGUCUUUUCUAUCCAGAGGCCUCCUCUAUUGUCCAAAUUGCUACAACCACAGGCCUCCACCAUUGAUGGGUGUCCACCAUCACUGGACUUCCUCCAUGUCUUAGUCUCCACCAACUCCCACUCGAGCAUUGCAGCACACCAAAAUACCUGGGAGUCACUCUGGACCGUGCUCUGACUUACAAGAAGCAUUGCUUGAAUAUCAAGUAACAAGUAAGCGCUGGAAAUAAUAUCAUAUGAAAGCUGAGUGACACAACCUGGGGAUCACAACCAGACACAGUGAAGACAUCUGCCCUUGAGUUUUGCUACUCUCCUCACCAUACUAAAUCAGCGGACGUGGCCUUUAAUGCGACCUGAUGCAUUAUCACAGGAUAUCUAUACCCUACACCACUGGAGAAGUUAUACUUUAUAGCCGGUAUUGCACCACCUGACAUCCAUUGGGAAGUAGUAGCCAAUAAUGAAAGGACAGUGACAUCUCCAGCACAUC